UUCUGUAGGUGAUCACGUUUAUGUCACUGCUUUCUUGGCUGACUUUGGCUACACAUAUGUAUUUGUCAGGACCCAAAACUGAACAACUGAGGUGGGAGGAGGAACAGACAGGAUGGCGUGGCAGUGACAAGAAGCAGAGAAAGCAGGCUAUAUUUGAGAGACUUCAACUGAGACGGAAUACUCGAGUGUCAAUAGAUCCCCCUAAAAGUGUAAGAAGUACAAGAGCUGCUGAAGACAGAGGAGCCACAACAGUACAACCAAGGCCAGAGGAGGACCAGACAGGAUGGCAUGCCAUUGACAGGAAGAAGCAAAAGCCCGACUUUGUGCGAGUACAACCAAGAUGCAGCGUUCGAACGUCUAUGGGGCCUGAAGAAAGUAGAGAAGAUACAGGAGCUGCUCAAGAGAAAGGAGCCACAACAGUACAACUAAGGCCACAGGAGGACCAGACAGGAUGGCAUGCCAUUGACAAGAAGCAGCAAAAGCCCAUCGCUGAGCGAUUUCAACCAAGGUGGAAUGCUCGAGUGUCUUUGAAUCCUGAACAAAGUGGAGAAAACAUGGGAGUCGCUGAAGAGAAGGGGUCCAAGGCGGUACAACCAAGGCCAGAGGAGGACCAGAUGCGAUGGGGUGGCAGUGAGAAGAUGCAGUGGAAGCCCAUCCUUGAGCGGUUUCAACUGAAGUGGAGUGCCCGAGUGUCUGUGGGUCCUGAAAAAAGCAGAAGACACAGAGGAGCUGGUAAAGACAAAGUAGAACCCACUGUACGAGUUUCAUCAGAACAACAUUCAAGAUGUCACAGCAGUGUGAAGAAGCCACGGUUGGGCAGUAAAGGAAGUGUCAAACACUGUAACUGCUUCAUGUAAAAUUCAGAGAUGACAUCAUCACAGAAAAGAUGCUGAGGUCUCUUUUCAACACGGGGCUGAGAGACAUGAAGUCUAAAUUCAGUGAAGGUCAUUUGCAGGUGUAUCUCUUGUGUGUCUGUGUAUUUCAUGUUUCUGAGUUCGCAGUAUGUUUAUGUGUGAAUCCAUGCAUGUGGAUGUGAGCGCACACAUACAUUACAAUAUGUGUGUUGUUGAGUCAGGGUUUCUUUAGUCUUUUUCUAUUGGGAAUUCCAGAAUAGCUGGCUCUAGAGUUUCUGGUAAUUCUUUCUUAGUCUCCCAUGUUCUUGCAGAAGUGCUAGGACUAUAAACAGUACUACUGUGCAUCAGGAUUUUAAGUGAGUUCUUGGGAUUUGAACUCUGCUCCUCAUGCUUUCAUGGCAUGUUCUUUUUCCCACUUAGCCACCUUUGUUGCCUGAGGACUUUCUUAACAUGACUGCCUUACUACCCAAUAAAGAUGAGGAAAGAGUUCA
rnacentral:lncRNA from 1 species